UACAUGGGGUGCAAACGUUGCUCGGAAUUAUUGGGCGUAAAGCGCACGUAGGCGGUUUGUUAAGUCGGAUGUGAAAUCCCUCGGCUCAACUGAGGAAGUGCAUCCGAAACUGGCAAGCUUGAGUACGAAAGAGGGUCGCGGAAUUCCCGGUGUAGAGGUGAAAUUCGUAGAUAUCGGGAGGAACACCGGUGGCGAAGGCGGCGACCUGGGUCGAUAUUGACGCUGAUGUACGAAAGCGUGGGGAGCAAACAGG
rnacentral:rRNA from 1 species